rnacentral:rRNA from 1 species
UACGUAGGGGGCAAGCGUUGUCCGGAAUUAUUGGGCGUAAAGAGCGCGUAGGCGGUCCGAUAAGUCGGCUGUGAAAGUCUAGGGCUCAACCCUGGAAAGCCGGCCGAUACUGUCGGACUAGAGUCCGGAAGAGGCGAGUGGAAUCCCGGUGUAGCGGUGAAAUGCGCAGAUAUCGGGAGGAACACCAAUGGCGAAGGCAGCUCGCUGGGACGGUACUGACGCUGAGGCGCGAAAGCCAGGG